rnacentral:tRNA from 1 species
UGCCGUCUUAGCUCAGCCGGUAGAGCGCACGGCUUUUAACCGUGUGGUCGUGGGUUCGAUUCCCACAGACGGCGAGAUAUUACCCGUCGCG